UAUGUGUUCUGAUGGAUGAACCUUGCUUCUAUCUAUUACUAUAGGUCAAGGAGUCCCAAUAAGAGAACUUUGAAUGAAAGGAGGGGAAAGAUAAUUCGAACUGGAAGUCCAAGUCCUUUGAGAAAACAAAGAGAUCAUAAAUUGCAUCAUGAUGCAUAUGAGAGAACCCCAGAUGAGAGGGAUGUGAAUUCUUUAAGGGGACCUGUUGAGACUAGGAGCCACUCUAAUGGGUCUGGGUCAAGGAAGCCAAAAGAAGCCAUGAGAGGUGAAAAAACAUCUGGAAGAAUGGAUCACAUCAAAGAUUUUGAUGAUCGACAGAGGUCACCUGUGACUCAUAGAGGCUCACAUGUAGCUAAGAAGGAUAGGGAAUCAUUGGAUCUGGAGAGCCCCAAAGCUGAUGAGAGGAACCUCAGUCGUUUAAAUGCCAUCCAGGGAGAGGAUCAGCCUGUUGAUGCAAAACAUUUACAUGAGACAUCUAGGAAAGUGGAGGAUGUUGAACAAAUCAUUUAUAAGAAUUCAGGUUCUGAGGAAUGUGAUAAGCGAAGAUCUAGAGUUAAGGAAAAGAGGAAGCACAAGAGAUCUGUCAGACACGAGUCAACUUCUGACGAUGAUUCUAGUUAUGAUUCAGGUGUGGAUGAGAGGAAGGAGGCUAAGAGGAGGAAGAAAGAAGAGAAGAAAUUGAGGAAGGAGGAGAAGCGUCGACGUCGGGAUGAGAGACGUCGUAAGAAGGAAGAGAGGCGUGCUGGGAAACAAAAAUUGAAGUCAGAUAAUGCUAUAUCUUCGCCUUCUGAUGCUGAGAAGACUAAUGAUGGUAAUGUUUCGGAUGAGGAGCUUGCCAGAAAAGAGUUUCAUGGACGUGAGAUUGAAGGGACGGAUUCAGCGAAGAAGCUUGAAAUUGAGUUGCGAGAGAAGGCUCUUGAGUCUCUUAGAGCAAAAAAGGGCAUUGGCCACUAAUUUGCAUGCUGCUCUUGGACAAUGGGCUGUUAUUGAAUCAUUAUAAUCAUUUCACUGUUUGUUUUAUUUACCAAGACUUUUGCAUGGGUGUAUUCUGUAUGGAUGCUUAAUCCAGUCUAUCUUUACUUCUGACAGCUAAAAUGCCUAAAUGAAGAUUUCCUGAGCUACUGUCUUGAGUGCAACUUUUUGCUGACCUACCUUCUAAAUUUGCUGAUGAGAAAAUUUUCACCUAUGUGACCUGGUUGAGCAGAUCUAUGCAGCUUCAUACAUUGAAAUCUAAUACAGCUUGAAAGUUGUCCCUGGAAUUGUUCAUUUUAUUCUUGAUGCCUUGUGUUCCUGUCUUCCCCCCGUUAAUGUUGAUGGCAACAGUUGUAUGAGUAUGACAGUAUGGUGCAUAAUUAAUUGUAUGAAAUGAAAUUUUGUAAA